CCCGUGUUGGCAGGAAGCUCCCUGGGCAGAGUAAAACCCUGAAACGCGCGGCUUGGUGUGUCUUUACUGAAAAGAAUCUCUGCCGUGCGGUGGCACUGGUGAGCUGAGCACGGGCUGUGCUGGUCCAGGCUCUGUCCCGCCGCUUCCUGCUGGUGCCUGCAGGGCGCAGCUUCUGCCCACGCAACUCCUCCGUGGCUCGCUCGCAAACUUCCAAGGAUGCCCUGAAUGUUUAUGGAAUAAUAGAAAACAGCAGCUUGGUUUUCACUUCAAGCUUUAAUUUGCAUGCGUGAGUGAUUGGCACAGAAAGUAUUUUUGGAGGCGAAGAGAUAAUCUACAGAAGUGGUAAAUUUUACAGAAUUUACAAUGGGCAGUGCUCUUCCCUUUUUGUGUGCAGGUGGGAGUGGAGGGGGCAGAAGAGACCCUAAAACCAUGGAUUCCAGAGGAGCACCUAGAGGUGCAACUCUUAAGCUUUUUCAGGCGUUUCUGUGAACUCUGAUCACUCAGUGCUGUGCCUUUAACAAAGCAGGCAUUUCCAAGUAAGAGAAGCAAAAGCAAGAUAGUGAUUCAUAGAGCUUCUCUAACAAAGAACAAAGCUCUGGGAGCCUCUGAGCUGCUGCAGGUGCCAAGCAGAAAGGUCCAGAUAGUGGAGAAAGACAGGAGAGGUUUGCUUGACCACAACUUGUCCAUCAUUAAAGCAUCUGGGCUACUGAAUCCUUUUUAUCUUUGCUCUCUGAGAAACUCCAGGAAAAAGCCUUUGAAAUCUCGUUCAGAGUUGGAUGUUGAUGAAGCCUGGACUUGCAGCAGUGCUGAGUGUGGUGGACAGAACACUUGAAAUAAAGCAGCAGCCUUGCAGCUCAGAGUCCUGUGGAUCAUGGCUGUUUCCCUUUGGCAUGGUGCUUUGCAUUUUUCUCCUCAAUUUCAAAGCAAAACUAUAAAUAGGAGUUGGGAACUGUGUGGAUGUGGUGAUUGAUAUGGUUUGUUUUGUUUUGUUUUUUUUGCUGUUCUCACCCUCUUGCCUUGUAAAGGAGGUCUAAGCUUAAAUUAAGAGCCCAUGAUGGA
rnacentral:lncRNA from 1 species